rnacentral:rRNA from 1 species
CAGCCGCCGCGGUAAUACGAAGGGGGCUAGCGUUGCUCGGAAUCACUGGGCGUAAAGGGUGCGUAGGCGGGUCUUUAAGUCAGGGGUGAAAUCCCAAGGCUCAACCUUGGAACUACCUUUGAUACUGUUUGUCUUGAGUUCGAGAGAGGUAAGUGGAACUGCGAGUGUAGAGGUGAAAUUCGUAGAUAUUCGCAAGAACACCAGUGGCGAAGGCGGCUUACUGGCUCGAAACUGACGCUGAGGCGCGAAAGCGUGGGGAGCAAACAGGAUUAGAUACCCCAGUAGUCCCUGUCUCUUAUAA